CUGGCUCAGAACGAACGCUGGCGGCAGGCUUAACACAUGCAAGUCGAGCGCCCCGCAAGGGGAGCGGCAGACGGGUGAGUAACGCGUGGGAAUCUACCCUUUUCUACGGAAUAACGCAGGGAAACUUGUGCUAAUACCGUAUGAGCCCUUCGGGGGAAAGAUUUAUCGGGAAAGGAUGAGCCCGCGUUGGAUUAGCUAGUUGGUGGGGUAAAGGCCUACCAAGGCGACGAUCCAUAGCUGGUCUGAGAGGAUGAUCAGCCACAUUGGGACUGAGACACGGCCCAAACUCCUACGGGAGGCAGCAGUGGGGAAUAUUGGACAAUGGGCGCAAGCCUGAUCCAGCCAUGCCGCGUGAGUGAUGAAGGCCCUAGGGUUGUAAAGCUCUUUCACCGGUGAAGAUAAU
rnacentral:rRNA from 1 species